CCUCUCAGCGCGGUCACCUCAGUGUUGUGGUUGCGGGCACGAGACGCCCCUCACCCCCGGUAUUGGGGUCGCGGGCCUCAGGCGGGCGUCGGUCCACGGCGACCCCGCAGGCCCUGGUCUGGUGUCCGCGCGGACGAGGCUGCGGGGUGCGCUGGGCUUGCGCUGGGGCGGGCGGGGGGCGUCCACACGCUUUCUCCCCAGCACGCGUGGGCCUCAUGCGUGGGGCUUUUCACGACUCUCGGGAGUGAGCUGGACACCCUGGGCACCUUUGGACGCGUCCUUCGUAGACGCGCUGUGACACGUGUGUUAGCCUGGGGGCUGGUGGAGCUGAACUGAGACACCACGCCCCCCCGAACACGCACGCACCCCGAGAAUCCCGAGGGAGCUGUUCCCCAGUGUCGGCGGGAAGCGUAUCUGCCAGGUGCGACGGUGGACUGUAGUGGACGCGAAUACCCGGCCCUGUCCGCAGAGGGCCACCUUCCUAGGUCAGAAAUAAUGGACAGUGGAUGGCUACCAACAGACCAUUGAAAGCCAUGGAGUCUCUUCGGGUGCCUGCAAAAGAAGCCUCAUCUCCUGCAUUGAGACAAUACAGACAAGGGCCAGGCUCAAGAAUUAACAUCUCAAAGAUGUCUGGAGAAAUGGAAAUGGAAAUCACAUCUCUCACAAGCAGCACUUGGAUAAGAAAUCUCAUGGUCAGGAAAAUGGGCUGCAAACCGUGAUGAAGGUACCCAGGGCCUCAGAACGUGACAGUUACAGCCAUCAGGGAAACCUUUCUUCACUUGAAUUUUUAAACAAAAUUCCAUUCUACAAUUUAUCCACAAGGCCUCUUAAUUAUGUUUUUAAUUGAAAACAGUUUUUUCCCCAAAUAACCGAUGGAUGUUUAACAUUAUCACUGUAACAUUGCAAUUACCAAGUAAGUUGUAAGUGUAAAAACACAUUACGUGUGCAAAAAAACCCCCAAUCCCAAAGAAAAAGAUUAAGUAAAGCUAACACCACGGCCUUGCAUGUAUGUGUGUGUGUGUGUGUGUGUGUGUGCGUGCGUGUGUGGGGGGGUCAUGUGUGCCCGGGUGCCCUUCCAUCACAGGCGGGCCUGGGCACCCGCACAAAUCUGCCCAGGGACGCCUCCGCGCACGGCCCUGUCUCUGCAGACGGGGCCCCUGCUGAUGGCUACAACCCUGCAGUGGAAAAGCAGCUGAGGCACCA